rnacentral:rRNA from 1 species
UACGGGGGGGGCAAGCGUUGUUCGGAAUUACUGGGCGUAAAGGGCUCGUAGGCGGCCAACUAAGUCAGACGUGAAAUCCCUCGGCUUAACCGAGGAAGUGCAUUCGAAACUACUGGACUUGAAUACUGGAGAGGAUCGCGGAAUUCCCGGUGUAGAGGUGAAAUUCGUAGAUAUCGGGAGGAACACCAGUGGCGAAGGCGGCGAUCUGGACAGAUAUUGACGCUGAGGUGCGAAAGCGUGGGGAGCAAACAGG